rnacentral:lncRNA from 1 species
GGGAAUUUCACUUUCCAAACUAUCGCAAUUGGGAACGGAAAAUGAUUUUUGACAAUUCUAAACACCAGAGGGAUCCGAUCAAACAAAGGGUGAUUCGGCAAGAGGAGUUAAAUCGGCAAUUCAAAGGUGGUAGAGGAUGCGACGAUAACUACGGUGCGGUGGCCAAGAAAUGAAAGAAAAAAGAAGGAAAAGGAAAAGAAAAGAAAAGAGAGGAGAAGGGAAGAACGAGGCAAUGAAGAGGAGAAGAGGAGGCGGCUAGGGAAAACAAAUGAGAGAAAAUAGAGAACUAGGGUUAGGGGUGACACAAAACAAAGGAAAAUGAAAAAGAGGGGGUAGCCAAGCAAAAUACCUAGGGUUUUGCAGCAUUAAGGUUUCUACACUAGAAAAUGUGGCACUAAG